GGCCUUAUUAGUAGAAAAAUAACAAUUAAAGUAGACUUGUUUGUCAACAAGUGCCUUGUUCAUUUGCUCUUUCAAAACACUCCUUUCGUGCUUCCACUCUUGUUUUUUUUCCAACUGUACAAAUAAAUGAAGUUUCUGUCAGAGAAUUCAACUUAUGAAAAUUAAAAAAGAGAAAAAUAAAAUACAACAAAAAGGAGAACAAACACAAAAAGGAAAAAAAGUAGCUUCCUGUAGUUUAGAACAUGCCGUCUGAUGAUCAACUAUAGUUUGCAUAGCUUAUGAACAAAUGCCAUGAGAUGUUUGCUCCUACUGGUCAGUCAUACUGUCAUUUCCUGAGUCAUGUCGUUGAUUAUUGUUGUUCAACUCCAACUGGUCAGAAUUUGUAUCUUUGCUUGCAAGCUUCUGUUUAAAAAAAGACACAAACAUUUGCCGUCUGAUGAUCAACUAUAGUUUGCAUAGCUUAUGAACAAAUGCCAUGAGAUGUUUGCUCCUACUGGUCAGUCAUACUGUCAUUUCCUGAGUCAUGUCGUUGAUUAUUGUUGUUCAACUCCAACUGGUCAGAAUUUGUAUCUUUGCUUGCAAGCUUCUGUUUAAAAAAAGACACAAACAUUUGCGUGAAAAACAUGAGCACCACCAAAAAAGGUAAAUCUUUUGCAGUGAUAGGGGAAAAUGAAAAUCAUAAACCAAACAUAAGCACAGGAAAAACCACUGAGUCUACGUCGAAAAGCUAUUGUGUACAUUGAAAAAAACAUGAAAGGACAACUUGCAAAAACCAUCGAGUCUACGUCGAAAAGCUAUUGUGUACAUUAUAAACAUUCUUAUAGACAUUUUUGAUACUUUGCUUUGUUCAGUCAACUUGAGGCUAUAUGCAUAUUCAGGCAUUUUUCAUACGCAUUUUGCACAUUUAGACAAUUCUCUGGGGCAGGGAGAAAACAUUAACCAUUAAAUAUAGAAAAACCUUGCUUUUGUCUCACUGAAAUUAGUUAUCAAAAAGUUUGAGAAUGUGUCGCUCUACUAAAAGCUACACUACUACUGGGAAACAAAAACCUUGAGGACACAUCGCCCUCUCAUGCACGACACAAAUACACAUGUUAAUCACUGAACAUAGAGACCGAAAAAUGAAAAAAAAAAGCCUAAAUCCAACAAUCUCAAUCACUGAACUUACAUAAUCAAAAAUGUAUGAUCUCUCUGAAAAAUAAACAUCCUGGAAAUCCCCCACAUUCUGAAUCCAACUAAAAGAUGUGUGCUAACAUUCUGAAUCCCACAAUCUAAACUUGCAGAUCGAAAAUGAAAAAUUAAACAUCCUGAAUCCCACAUUCUGAAAACAAACAGAUUCAGAAUGUGUGGUAUGCUCUGGAAAACACUCUGAACUCAGAGUGUUGGAUUUUGCAUUUCUGUAAACACUCUGAAUUCUGUUUUUAUACCCUGGAGAUGUGAACAAUAACUUAAUUUACAGUUUCAAGUCUGAAAACUUACAGAUCAAAUCAAAACAGCUUGCAUAACCUCAUUGUCAUCAACUAGCACCCCUCCCACCCCCUCCCCCCAGCACAAUAAUGGGCAGAUGAAAAACAACUACCAGAAGCUAAGCUGAAUUCAUCAGUGUAGAAGCUAGCUUCAACACAGAGUAUAAUUUGUUCGUUGCUGACUCCAGACAAAACAUCAAAAACAAAAAUCGAUGUAUAUGGCUCCUGCCAUUCAUUGUUGGCUGAGGCAACAACCUCCUGUAGCCGAAGCUCCAUGGCUCCCCCUCGACUAUCCCCUACCCCACCCCUAUACAACCAACUUGCAAAACAACUGGGUGGUUUCCUACAGAUGACGUGAACAGAGAUCUAUCCAACAACAAAACAAUUUUUGCUCCUGACUCCUCGUAAACACAGCUGAGGAAAUGGCAACAGGCAAAAUUAAGCUACGUAGGCGAACGAGGGGGGGGGGGGGAGAGGAGCCUCGUAAGGUAGCUUAUUACCUUGACCGGAGCGUCCGGCGCAGAGCUCGGGAGCGGCGCCCAUAGCAGGAGGCUCGUCGGUCGCAGACUGCUCGGUGAAGAUGCGGAUGCCGCGGUGCUCGUCGGGCGCGCAGGGCUGGACGACCACCGUGGGAACGGCGGACGUGAAGUCUUCGGGGAUGCUCCCGAUGCCACGGAUCUCGGCGGCGGCGACGUCACAUGCCAUCGUCUUGGAGCUUCUCACCCUCUUCUUUGCUCCCUUCUGUCUCUCUCCCCCACCGAUUCAAAC
rnacentral:lncRNA from 1 species